GUCUACAGCUAUGUCACCCUGAACAUGCCUGAUCCUGUCUGAUCUCAGAAGCUAAGCAGGGUCGAGCCUGGUUAGUACUUGGAUGGGAGACCAACUAGAAAGACCAGGUGCUGUAGGCA
rnacentral:rRNA from 1 species